rnacentral:lncRNA from 1 species
AUGCUCGUCGGAAGGAAUUCUUGAAUUUGACUCAGGGUGAUAAGACUGUAGCAGAGUAUGAGGCAGAAUUUUGGAGGCUGAGUCGAUAUGCUAGUGGCAUAGUGGCAACUGAAUAUGAGCGCAGUGUCCGCUUCGAGGAUGGUCUCCGCGAUGAGCUUAGGAUAUUGAUAGCCCCACAGAGGGAGCGUGGUUUUGCUGCAUUGGUAGAAAAGGCUAAGAUAGCCGAGGAGGUGAAGCUGAGUGAGCGACAGAAUCGUGAGAAGGAUCGACCCAGAUUCAAGAGGGAUUUUAGACCCUCAAGUGCCACG